AGCUGGCCCGAGGACAGUGGUGUUUAUAACUAAUUGAUUCCAACCAGUCACAGAUUUCUUUGUUCCUUCCCCACUCCCACUGCUCUACUUGACCAGCCUUAA
rnacentral:Y_RNA from 1 species